UGGUUGCUGUACUUGAUUUUGAUCGGUUUCUUUGUUUCUUACACUCAAGCAGAGAGCUACAAUCAAACUGAUUCUGAUUGCGCUCCGCGAGCACUGUGAAAUAUGGGAAGAGGGUCAAAGAGGCAGAGGAAAAAUGUUGCGAGAAGCUCUAUUAAAUCCAAAACCAAUGAGAGAGAGGAAGAAACUUUUAGGGAAGAAGACACUGAUCGAUGAAAUAGAUUCCUGCGUGUCAGAGGAUGAGGAUUUGGAGGAGCCUGUUCUUGGUUUCGAGGAAGUCCGCCGCAUGGUCCACUCAAUAUUGGACACGUGGGUUCGGGAUUGGAGUUGCUAUCGAACCCAGUGAAUCAGUAUGUCUCAUGCACCUUACCUAAUUCUUGAUGAUCAGUAUCGUAAAAUCAAAAGUUUAAUCCGACAAAUACUACUUAA